rnacentral:rRNA from 1 species
UACGUAGGGUGCAAGCGUUGUCCGGAAUUAUUGGGCGUAAAGAGCUUGUAGGCGGUUUGUCGCGUCUGCUGUGAAAUCUCAAGGCUCAACCUUGAGCUUGCAGUGGGUACGGGCAGACUAGAGUGUGGUAGGGGGAGACUGGAAUUCCUGGGUGUAGCGGUGGAAUGCGCAGAUAUCAGGAGGAACACCGAUGGCGAAGGCAGAUCUCUGGGCCGUUACUGACGCUGAGGAGCGAAAGCGUGGGGGAGCGAACAGG